AGCAUAAUCACUUGUUCCUUAAUUAGGGACUCGCAUGAAUGGCAACACGAGGGUUUAACUGUCUCUUUCUUCCAAUCAGUGAAAUUGACCUCCCCGUGAAGAGGCGGGGAUGCAACAAUAAGACGAGAAGACCCUAUGGAGCUUCAAUUAUUUAGCCCAAAACUUUCCUAAAAUUCACUCAAUAUGAGCCUAACAAGGAUUCCUCCUGGGCUAAAAAUUUUGGUUGGGGUGACCUCGGAGUACAAAUCAACCUCCGAAUGAUUAUAGCCUAGACCCUACAAGUCAUAGCACUUAAAUCAUAAAUUGACCCAAGAAUAUUUGAUCAACGGAACAAGUUACCCUAGGGAUAACAGCGCAAUCCUAUUAUAGAGUUCCCAUCGACAAUAGGGUUUACGACCUCGAUGUUGGAUCAGGACAUCCCA
rnacentral:rRNA from 1 species